GACAAAAAACAGGACAAAAAACAGGACCAAAAGUAUGACCAAGAUCAAGAUAGAAAAAUGUUAACAAUGGGUAACAUGCGAGAUACAAGUAAAUUUUAUAAAAGAAAACAUUCGGAUACUCACCAUGGUAGUAGUACCAGUAGCAAUAACAGCAGAAGUAACAGCAGAAGUAACAGCAGAAGUAACAGUAGAAGUAACAGUAGAAGUAACAGUCGUAGUAACAGUCGUAGUAACAGUCGUAGUAACAGUCGUAGUAACAGCCGUAGUAACAAUAACAGGAGAAGAACUAACAGAAAUAGCAAAUCUGUAAAUAUAUCUAAUGUUGUAUUUACAUCUAAUGGAAAAAAAACAGUCAUAGAGGAAAUUAUUUCACUGAAUCAAAUAGUAAAUAUAAAGGAAAUCAAAAUGUACAAAUAUAUGCAGCUACAAAAUGUUAUAAUUAUUUAUUACAAAAUUUUACAAAAAUAGAAUUAUUAACUAAUUUGUGUUGCUAUAUAAUUGGUACAUUUGGUUAUUUAAUUAAAAAUAAAGUAUCGAUGAAAGAACAAUUAAAAGUUAUGGAAAAAUAUUUUUAUAUUGUUUCAACAAAUACGAAAUAUGUGAUUUUAAUGGCUAUGGUAAAAAUGGUUUAUUAUGAUCAUAAAAUUAUAAAUAAUGUAAAAAAAAUAUUAAACGAUUGUAUAAAUCAUUCAGAUUUGGAAUUACAAACAAGAGCAUGUGAAUUUUUGAAUUUAUUUAAUAUGAACAGUACAAACAUGUUAAACUUUUUUAUUCAAAAUAUGCCUUUAUACAAUAACAGAAAAGUUCAUGACAAUUUUCUAAUUAAGCGUUUGCUUGAAAAAAAUAAACACACUAUUAUCGAGUUUAACGGAAAUUGCAACUUAUUAGAAAAUGAGAAAAGCGAAGAACAUUAUUAUGGGAUACAAAACAGUAAUGGCAUACAUAAAGACGACAAGUACAACAAUGAAAGUGUUAAUAACGAUUUUGACUAUAAUAAAUCAUCGACAUCUCUUAAAUUAGCAGAAAACGACUAUAAUAUGAAAAAAAGGGGACGUAGUAAAUCUGUUAAAAGUUUUACUGAUUUAAAAAAAAAAUCUACAUUUUACAAUGGAUCCGGUUUAUCUAAUACAUCACUAGUUUCUAGUUCUCCAUCUAGUGGUGAUCCUAGGAUAUCUGAUGAUGUUGACAAACAUAGUGAUUCUAAUAAAAAAAAAAUAAAUAGAUUAUUAUGUUUAAAAAAACCAAACAAUUUAAAUCAAUUAUGGUUCAACUCAUGUUUAUUAGAUAAAUCUCUACUAUUUAAAAACAGUAUUAUAUCAGUUGUAGUCAAACAAAAGUACAAAGAAAACAAAAUAUUUAUUACAUUUUUUGUAAAAAAUAUUACCAAAGACGUGAUCAAUAUUACAAGUAUUAAUAUUGAAGAUUGUGAACACCUGAAUAUAAGAGAACAAAAAAGUUUUAACCCUGAGCAUUUAGAAAGUGGAUGUAUAUACGUGCAUAAAAUUAUCGUUAUUGUAUCUGACAUUUUUUUUAAUAUUCCUAGCGUUUUUUUCAAUAUUACUACACCUAUUUCAGCGCCAUCAAGUUUCUGUACAAAACUACCAAUACUAAUUACCAGAUUUGUCAAAGAAUAUAAAAUUAAUGAAUCAAAUUUUAAAGUUUAUUGGAAUGCUCUCAUUGCUGCUCAUAACGAAGAUAAACUGAUAGGACCACCAGCAUUUUCGAAAAAAAUAUUUUGUAAUUAUUUAACACACGCUUUUAAUUUUUAUAUAUUGAAGGUAAAGUUAAAUAUUCCGCAUAAUUAGGGACGCAUAAUUAAGGGCAUUUAAUUUUUUGCGUUAAAUUCGGAAUGUUCAUUUUUG
rnacentral:lncRNA from 1 species